GCUUGUCUCAAAGAUUAAGCCAUGCAUGUCUAAGUAUAAACGACUUUAUACUGUGAAACUGCGAAUGGCUCAUUAUAUCACACCUAAUCUACUGGAAAGUUACUAGUUACUUGGAUAACUGAGGUAAUUCUUGAGCUAAUACAUGCGAAAAAUCUCGACUCACGGAGAGAUGCUUUUAUUAGAUCAAAACCAAACGGCUUCGGCCGUCUCAUUGGUGACUCUGAAUAACUUUGGGCUGAUCGUAUGGCCUUGUGCCGACGACGUUUCCUUCGAAGGUGUGCCCUAUCAACUGUCGACUGUGAUAUAGACGCUCACAGUGGU
rnacentral:rRNA from 1 species